UACGAAGGGGGCUAGCGUUGCUCGGAACCACUGGGCGUAAAGCGCACGUAGGCGGCUUGUUAAGUCAGGGGUGAAAUCCUGGAGCUCAACUCCAGAACUGCCUUUGAUACUGGCGAUCUCGAGUCCGGGAGAGGUGAGUGGAACUGCGAGUGUAGAGGUGAAAUUCGUAGAUAUUCGCAAGAACACCAGUGGCGAAGGCGGCUCACUGGCCCGGUACUGACGCUGAGACGCGAAAGCGUGGGGAGCGAACAGG
rnacentral:rRNA from 1 species